rnacentral:rRNA from 1 species
UACGAAGGGUGCAAGCGUUGUUCGGAAUUAUUGGGCGUAAAGGGCGCGUAGGCGGGCCCAUAAGUCAACUGUGAAAUCCCUAGGCUUAACCUGGGACGUGCAGUUGAAACUGUGGGUCUUGAAUGCUUGAGAGGGUGGUAGAAUUCCAGGUGUAGAAGUGAAAUUCGUAGAUAUCUGGAGGAAUACCUGAGGCGAAGGCGGCCACCUGGUAAGACAUUGACGCUGAGGCGCGAAAGCACGGGGAGCAAAC